UACGGAAGGGGCAAGCGUUGUUCGGAAUCAUUGGGCGUAAAGGGCGCGUAGGUGGCUCUGUGUGUCUACCGUGAAAGCGUACGGCUCAACCGUAUUUUGUCGGUAGAAACUGCAGGACUUGAGGCUGGGAGGGGCUGGUGGAAUUCCUGGUGUAGCGGUGAAAUGCGCAGAUAUCAGGAAGAACACCCGUGGCGAAGGCGGCUCUCUGGAACGCAACUGACGCUGAGGCACGAAAGCGUGGGGAGCAAACAGG
rnacentral:rRNA from 1 species